rnacentral:rRNA from 1 species
AUUGCCUACGGGGGGCAGCAGUGGGGAAUAUUGGGCAAUGGGCGCAAGCCUGACCCAGCAACGCCGCGUGAAGGAGGAAGGCUUUCGGGUUGUAAACUUCUUUUCUCAGGGACGAAGCAAGUGACGGUACCUGAGGAAUAAGCCACGGCUAACUAGGUGCCAGCAGCCGCGGUAAUACGUAGGUGGCAAGCGUUAUCCGGAUUUACUGGGUGUAAAGGGCGUGGAGGCGGGGAAGGAAGUGAGAU